rnacentral:lncRNA from 1 species
AGACUGCAUUUUGCCUUGCUUUUCCUUCUCCCUUUCUCUCUCUCUUUCUUUCUUUCUUUCUUUCUUUUCUUUCUUUCCUCUUUCUCUCUUUCCUUCUUUCUUUUUUUCUUCUUUCCUUCCUUCCUUCCUUCUUUCUUUUCUUUCUUUCCAUUUUUUUUUCCUCCAGAAGAAUGGAAACAGUAUUCUUUUCCGAUCAGUUCAGUAAUACAAUGUCCUUCAGUGUCCAUAUGAGCAUCUCAGUGGAGAAGAAAAGAAACUUUGCUACCUGGGAACUGAAGACUACUUAGUGAAGAUCCCGGUGUUACACAUCCAAUCGUUCACCUCCUUCCAAGACUAUGACAUUCCAGGAAACCUUCACUGCUAAGAGGAACUAAGAUCUAGAGUAUCUCCUCGAGGAAGUACAACUGUCUGUUUUCACUAAGGUGGGGAGCAGUAUGUGUCCAGAGCUCUAGAGGGACCGAAAGGCCAAGUGUCCACAGUGGCAAGAGAAUCCG